rnacentral:rRNA from 1 species
CUUGGGGUCUCGAGCGGCGACGGGUGAGUAACACGUGAGUAACCUGCCCUUCACUCUGGGAUAAGCCCGGGAAACUGGGUCUAAUACCGGAUACGACACCCCCUCGCAUGGGGUGGGUGUGGAAAGUUUUUUCGGUGGGGGAUGGACUCGCGGCCUAUCAGCUUGUUGGUGGGGUAACGGCCUACCAAGGCGACGACGGGUAGCCGGCCUGAGAGGGCGACCGGCCACACUGGGACUGAGACACGGCCCAGACUCCUACGGGAGGCAGCAGUGGGGAAUAUUGCGCAAUGGGCGAAAGCCUGACGCAGCGACGCCGCGUGGGGGAUGACGGCCUUCGGGUUGUAAACCUCUUUCAGCAGGGACGAAGUUGACGUGUACCUGCAGAAGAAGCGCCGGCUAACUACGUGCCAGCAGCCGCGGUAAUACGUAGGGCGCAAGCGUUGUCCGGAAUUAUUGGGCGUAAAGAGCUCGUAGGUGGCUUGUCACGUCGGGUGUGAAAGCUUGGGGCUUAACUCCAGGUCUGCAUUCGAUACGGGCUGGCUAGAGGUAGGUAGGGGAGAACGGAAUUCCUGGUGUAGCGGUGAAAUGCGCAGAUAUCAGAGGAACACCGGUGGCGAAGGCGGUUCUCUGGGCCUUACCUGACGCUGAGGAGCGAAAGCGUGGGGAGCGAACAGGAUUAGAUACCCUGGUAGUCCACGCUGUAAACGUUGGGCGCUAGGUGUGGGGACCUUCCACGGGUUUCCGCGCCGUAGCUAACGCAUUAAGCGCCCCGCCUGGGGGAGUACGGCGCAGCUAAACUCAAGGAUUGACGGGGCCCGCACAGCGGCGGAGCAUGUUGCUUAAUUC